rnacentral:lncRNA from 1 species
UGGGACUGCCUUGCAUUUAAGCAGAAUCUCCUUCUGCAGAGGGAGCUCACUGCAAAUCUGAAAUAAGAUCAGAGAAAUGCUGGCUUCAGCAGUCUGGCCAUCCUCUGCAAUGAUCACGAACCCUUGUGAGUAGAUCUGAGGAUAAAUAGCCAUCAGUAACCACAACUCCUCUCAUCUCCUUGGAGGCCACAGAUCAUAUAGCCUAUGUCACGAUCAAGAGACUCCAUGUCCUGCAGAGAAGCAUCUGAUUGGACAAGUGGAGGUUACAAGCCCAUGCUGCCAGAACUCAGAAGUUUCCUCUUCAGGUUUCUAUAGUAAGAGGCUCUUCCAAAACCCAGAGGACAUGGGCCUUCUGCUGAAGAUAAGCUUACAACAUCAAAAGAGGUAAAAUAAUAAACUAUGUGAGUAAGUAAAUACUAUUAGA